AGUGAACGCUGGCGGUAGGCCUAACACAUGCAAGUCGAACGGCAGCACAGUAAGAGCUUGCUCUUACGGGUGGCGAGUGACGGACGGGUGAGGAAUACAUCGGAAUCUACUUUUUCGUGGGGGAUAACGUAGGGAAACUUACGCUAAUACCGAAUACGACCUACGGGUGAAAGCAGGGGAUCUUCGGACCUUGCGCGAUUGAAUGAGCCGAUGUCGGAUUAGCUAGUUGGCGGGGUAAAGGCACACCAAGGCGACGAUCCGUAGCUGGUCUGAGAGGAUGAUCAGCCACACUGGAACUGAGACACGGUCCAGACUCCUACGGGAGGCAGCAGUGGGGAAUAUUGGACAAUGGGCGCAAGCCUGAUCCAGCCAUACCGCGUGGGUGAAGAAGGCCUUCGGGUUGUAAAGCCCUUUUGUUGGGAAAGAAAAGCAGCAGGUUAAUACCCCGCUGUUCUGACGGUACCCAAAGAAUAAGCACCGGCUAACUUCGUG
rnacentral:rRNA from 1 species